rnacentral:lncRNA from 1 species
AUGGCAAAUACUGUAUCUUCCUGCACCACAGCAGCAAGUCCUCCCAUGCUUUGGGGAAGAGCAGAUGUGGAUGCUGUGCUAAUGAUCUUCAUUUGGGAGAAGACAUAUCCAGGAAGGCAAAUUUCCUUCCGCCCUACUGAAGCAGAAAACUGCCCCGGAGAUGCUUCCAGAGAACGAGAUGGAUGCAAUUCAAAAGGGUUUGGAGCUGCUGGGAGGAAUGCUGUCCCCAGCGAUGGAGUGGAAUGGUCCGGCUCAGCCCGGGAAGGCAGGCUUCAUACUGUCUGCACCAGGGUACCCUGGCAGAAAGCGUGCAAGGGAGGAGAACUGAAAUAA